rnacentral:rRNA from 1 species
AGCGAACGCUGGCGGCAGGCCUAACACAUGCAAGUCGAACGGCUCUUCGGAGCAGUGGCGGACGGGUGAGUAACGCGUGGGAACGUGCCCUUUGGUUCGGAACAACACAGGGAAACUUGUGCUAAUACCGGAUGAGCCUUUCGGGGGAAAGAUUUAUCGCCAUUGGAGCGGCCCGCGUUGGAUUAGGUAGUUGGUGGGGUAAAGGCCUACCAAGCCUACGAUCCAUAGCUGGUCUGAGAGGAUGAUCAGCCACACUGGGACUGAGACACGGCCCAGACUCCUACGGGAGGCAGCAGUGGGGAAUCUUGCGCAAUGGGCGAAAGCCUGACGCAGCCAUGCCGCGUGUAUGAUGAAGGUCUUAGGAUUGUAAAAUACUUUCACCGGGGAAGAUAAUGACGGUACCCGGAGAAGAAGCCCCGGCUAACUUCGUGCCAGCCGCCGCCGUAAGAC